rnacentral:rRNA from 1 species
UACGUAGGGGGCGAGCGUUGUCCGGAUUUAUUGGGCGUAAAGAGCGUGUAGGCGGCCAGGUAGGUCUGCUGUGAAAACUCGAGGCUUAACCUCGAGCUGUCGGCGGAAGCCAUCUGGCUAGAGUCCGGAAGAGGAGAAUGGAAUUCCCGGUGUAGCGGUGAAAUGCGCAGAUAUCGGGAAGAACACCCGUGGCGAAGGCGGUUCUCUGGGACGGUACUGACGCUGAGACGCGAAAGCGUGGGGAGCGAACAGG